AGAGUUUGAUCCUGGCUCAGAACGAACGCUGGCGGCAUGCCUAACACAUGCAAGUCGAACGAGACCUUCGGGUCUAGUGGCGCACGGGUGCGUAACGCGUGGGAAUCUGCCCAAAGGUUCGGAAUAACUCAGGGAAACUUGAGCUAAUACCGGAUAAUGUCGCAAGACCAAAGAUUUAUUGCCUUUGGAUGAGCCCGCGUAGGAUUAGCUUGUUGGUGGGGUAAAAGCCUACCAAGGCGACGAUCCUUAGCUGGUCUGAGAGGAUGAUCAGCCACACUGGGACUGAGACACGGCCCAGACUCCUACGGGAGGCAGCAGUGGGGAAUAUUGGACAAUGGGCGAAAGCCUGAUCCAGCAAUGCCGCGUGAGUGAUGAAGGCCUUAGGGUUGUAAAGCUCUUUUACCCGGGAUGAUAAUGACAGUACCGGGAGAAUAAGCUCCGGCUAACUCCGUGCCAGCAGCCGCGGUAAUACGGAGGGAGCUAGCGUUGUUCGGAAUUACUGGGCGUAAAGCGCACGUAGGCGGCUUUGUAAGUUAGAGGUGAAAGCCCGGGGCUCAACUCCGGAACUGCCUUUAAGACUGCAUCGCUUGAAUCCAGGAGAGGUGAGUGGAAUUCCGAGUGUAGAGGUGAAAUUCGUAGAUAUUCGGAAGAACACCAGUGGCGAAGGCGGCUCACUGGACUGGUAUUGACGCUGAGGUGCGAAAGCGUGGGAGCAAACAGGAUUAGAUACCCUAGUAGUCC
rnacentral:rRNA from 1 species